rnacentral:lncRNA from 13 species
AUUUGAAAAAAAAAGACUUUUAGAAACCAUUACAUUUUUGUCUUAUAUCAAAUGAGAUAGGAUGUAUAUAUGCCACUUAUAAGUGGAACAAUCGAGUUGAAUACAAAGAAUACAAAAGUUAAGCUCUUGUAUUUUCGUAUAUACUUUAUGUUAUUAUCUUUUUAGUAGUAAAUAACUACUAAGCCUUUCAUAUUUCCUACAGAGAGAACCUUCAUUUUACAUAUAGGUUGUAAUACGACGUUACGCUAUUCAAUAGUGAUAAAUUGAUUCAAUUCACGAUAGUUUCGUUAACAGUAUAAAGAACUGAAAUCACAACGCAAUACUAAAUAUAACAUAAAGGAAUACAACAAAGUGGUUACGAUCAAAUUAUUCUUCUAUUUUUUCUGCCUACUGCGGCGUAAAUCUUCGCGUAAUUAUUCUAUAAUACAUUAUAUAUAUUUCAUAAUGAUAUUUAUUACAUUAUUAUGUUCGAAAUAAUAUUUCGGUUAGCACGCUCAUGUGCUGUAAUUCGCGCACCGUUUAUAUAGACCCGCGCUUUGUUAUUGUUUGCGCGCGAGUGGCGGCGGGGGUAGACAGCGCCGCGAGUCGCGCCGUGCCGUCCGCGCGAGUCAUUACUCCUUUGUUGUCGCAGCGAGUAUCGGAAGACGAUCACUGUUUACGAACAGGUAGCACUAAAUUCGCGCGUACGGCCUCCACGACGGUGAGGACUCGUGGAGUGCCGUAUCGAGACGAUGCGGCGGCUGUUAUCGGAGCAAGUUACUGAGCAUCGUUAUGAUUGUCGAUCGCGUCAACCCGGCGCGCUGUUAAAGACUCGUAAGCGAGGCGGCCGGUAAGGUUAGGUUAGGCCAGACGCUUCGCGCGAUUUAUUCAUCUAAAGUGGGAAUGAAGAUAAUAGUCGGGAAUAAAGCACUGACUCGCGAUAUUUACGAGCGAAGAUCUGUUCUUUAUUCGUGCUUGGAAUCGAGUACAUACAUCUCGCGUCUCGAUCUUCUUUCAAUCUGUAAAUCCGAGCUCGUUGUCAUUCUCGAGUUGAAGGCGAAUUGGAGUAAUCGUCGGAUCGGAAAGCCGUGAUAUAGUGAACGAUGCGCGAGUAUCAUGAAAAAACCAGCAACGAAAGGGUGAGAGAGGAAGAGAAAAAGGAGACUCGGAAGCGAGUGACCGCGGAAUGCUAGUGAGCGAUGCGCAUGAAAAAAAAAACAGGAACAGAAAGGGAGAGAGAGGAACGAAAAAGGAGACUUGAAAGCGAAUGAUAAUGGAGCAGCUGUGGGUGUAAUAUCUGCGGAGUGUCGUUUUCUAUUUAUUAAACGCGCGCGAAUUAAUCACGAAUGAAGUUUUGGCGAGUGAAUUUUCGCGAGUGAGUAUUGUGAGUGAAUUUUCGCGAGUGAGUACCACGAGUGAGUAUAAGUGCAACGGAGGAAACUGAGAGGAGGCAGAGGCCUAGGAGGCAUCGAGCAACGGCGAAGCAACCACGGGUUCAACGUAGUGAUGCAGUUUACAACUCCGCCGCUGCGCAUCGUAUUGAUUUCAAUGUAAUCUACGCAGCAGGUAACUUUGUUAUUGCGUAUUUGUCGAUUUACAGGACCUGGGAGAGGCAUCUGGCCCCAGCGGAGCAACCAUGGG